rnacentral:misc_RNA from 1 species
GUGAUUGCCUUAAUUGGCUUAAAACUAUAUCCAUCUACACCUGUGAACCGUUUGAUUGAAUCUCACGAUUCAAUUUUACAAACAUUGUGUAAUGAACGUCAUUAGAUCAUAACAUGAAA